AAAGUUCUUUGAGGUUUGACAUAAUAGCUACCUAUUAAGUUUGCCUUCUGCAUGACCUGUGCAACUGCCAUUUAGAAAAGGGAAAGCUAUCAUCCAUCAUGUGUCUUUAUAAAGAACUUCUUUAAACUUUAUCUUUAUUUAUUGAGACAGAAUUUAGCUCUCAUCGCCCAGGCUGGAGUGCAAUGGCGCGAUCUCAGCUCACCGCAACCUCCGCCUCCCAGGUUCAAGCCAUUCUCCUGCCUCAGCCUCCCGAGUAGCUGGGAUUACAGGUGCCUGCCACCAUGUCCAGCUAAUUUUUUGUAUUUUUGGUAGAGACAGGGUUUCACCAUAUUGGCCAGGCUGGUCUUGAACUCCUGACCUCAGGUGAUCCACCCAUCUUGGCGUCCCAAAGUGCUGGGAUUAUAGGUGUGAGCCACCACGCCCAGCUUUUUAUUUAUUUAUUUAUUUACUUAUGUACUUAUUUAUUUAUUUUUCAAG
rnacentral:lncRNA from 1 species